rnacentral:rRNA from 1 species
GGCUUAGAGUUUGAUCAUGGCUCAGGAUGAACGCUAGCUACAGGCUUAACACAUGCAAGUCGAGGGGCAUCAGGAAGAAAGCUUGCUUUCUUUGCUGGCGACCGGCGCACGGGUGAGUAACACGUAUCCAACCUGCCCUUUACUCGGGGAUAGCCUUUCGAAAGAAAGAUUAAUACCCGAUAGCAUAAUGAUUCCGCAUGGUUUCAUUAUUAAAGGAUUCCGGUAAAGGAUGGGGAUGCGUUCCAUUAGGUUGUUGGUGAGGUAACGGCUCACCAAGCCUUCGAUGGAUAGGGGUUCUGAGAGGGAGGUCCCCCACAUUGGAACUGAGACACGGUCCAAACUCCUACGGGAGGCAGCAGUGAGGAAUAUUGGUCAAUGGGCGCUAGCCUGAACCAGCCAAGUAGCGUGAAGGAUGAAGGCUCUAUGGGUCGUAAACUUCUUUUAUGUAAGAAUAAAGUGCAGUAUGUAUACUGUUUUGUAUGUAUUAUAUGAAUAAGGAUCGGCUAACUCCGUGCCAGCAGCCGCGGUAAUACGGAGGAUCCGAGCGUUAUCCGGAUUUAUUGGGUUUAAAGGGAGCGUAGGUGGACUGGUAAGUCGGUUGUGAAAGUUUGCGGCUCAACCGUAAAAUUGCAGUUGAUACUGUCAGUCUUGAGUACAGUAGAGGUGGGCG